UACGUAGGAGGCGGGCGUUGUCCGGAAUUACUGGGCGUAAAGAGCGCGUAGGCGGCGCGGUACGACCGCUGUGAAAGCCCCCAGCUCAACUGGGGAGGGUCAGCGGUAACGGCCGUGCUUUGAGUGCAGGAGAGGGAAGUGGAACUCCGGGAGUAGCGGUGAAAUGCGUAGAUAUCAGGAGGAACACCGGUGGUGUAGACGGCUCUCUGGACCGUAACUGACGCUGAGGCACGAAAGCGUGGGUAGCAAACAGG
rnacentral:rRNA from 1 species